UGAUUUGAUUAAAUUCCAUAUUGUCUUAGUUUCAAUUGGUCAUACUUAGCAGGUUUGUAUGUGGGUGUCCAAAACGGGCACUAAUCACGGCCUAUCGGGUUGGGUCGUGACAUGUUCGAUAGUGUAUUAUUAGAGAAUUACUGUCUUGUGUUCCACAUGGUUAUUUCCUCCAUUGAUAUAUACAAAUUUCUGCUCAUUUCUUCUUUUCGGUCUGAUUUAGCAUAUAAUAGUAAUAGGAAAAGACUUCUCUAAUAGAUUAUAUAGAAAAUAGUAUAUGCAAUUAUAUACAAAAUAUAUAAAUAUAGAACCCAUCGUAAAUAUAAAUUAGUAUUUUUCGGAAAUUCUCGGUAAGAAAGAAGGGGAAGAAUUUUUUUUCUGUUUUAAAAAAAGGAAAAUCUUAUUUCCUGAAUCAUUGUAUAUUUCAAUUUGAAUCAGGAAUUCUGUGUCCAACUCUACCUGUACCCGAAACCGACACAGGUGGGUAGGUAGAGAAUACCUAGGGGGCAAGACAACUCUCUCUAAGGAACUCGACAAAAUAGCCCCGUAACUUCGGGACAAGGGGUGCCUCCUCACAAAGGGGGUCGUAGUGACCAGGAUCGGGCGACUGUUUACCAAAAACACAGGUCUCCGCAAAGUCGUAAGAUCAUGUAUGGGGGCUGACGCCUGCCCAGUGCUGGAAGGUCAAGGAAGUUGGUGAUCUGAUGAUAGGGGAGCCAGCGACCGAAGCCCCGGUGAACGGCGUCCAUAACUAUAAUGGUCUAAGGUAGCAAAAUUCCUUAUCGGGUAAGUUCCGACAUGCACAAAAGGCGUAACGAUUUGGGCACUGUCUCUAAGAGAGGCUCAGUGAAAUAGACAUGUUUGUGAAGAUGCGGACUAUCUGCACCUGGACAGGAAGACCCAAUGAAGCUUCACUGUUCCCUGUGAUCGGCUUUGGGACUUUAUUUCGUUGCUUAGGUGGAAGCGGAAGAAGGCCUACUUCUGGGGGGCCCGAGCCAUCAGUGAGAUACCACUCUAAAAGGGCUAGAAUUCUAACCUUCUGUCAGGACCUAAGGGCCAAGGGACAGUCUCAGGUAGACCGUUUCUAUGGGGCGUAGGCCUCUCAAAAGGUAACAUAGGCGUGCAAAGGUUUUCUCGGGAUGGACGGAGAUCGGCCCUCAAGUGCAAAGGCAAAAAGGAGCUUGACUGCAAGACCCACUUGUCGAGAAGAGACAAAAGUUGGCCUUAGUAAACUGACGGUGCCCAGUGGAAGGGUCGUUGCUCAACGGAUAAAAGUUACUCUAUGGAUAACAGGCUGAUCUUCCCCAAGAGAUAACAUCGACGGGAAGGUUUUGCACCUCGAUGUCGGUUGUUCUCCACCUGAGGAUAUGAACUCUAUGAGAUCGAAUCUCCUAUUGUUCCUCAGCAUCACAGUUGUAGAGCAGUCGGUUGUUAACCGAUGGUCGUAGGUUUGAAUCCUACUUGGAAAGAUUUGAUUGAUUUUGAAUUCUUUAAUUCAGAAUAAGAAUAAAGGGGUUCGCUUUGCUCGUUAAGAGUAGGUAACCCUUUCCCUGUCUUUGUUUCUAUUGCAUUCUAUAUCAUCGAAUCACAUUCUGUUCUGCGAGAUUAGAAAAUCAUUUUCAAUACCUCGGUCUAGGUCCGAGAUAAUCCUUUGUUCCAUAGCCUUGGGGCUAUUUACAACUAGCCAAUUAAGAAGUCUCAGAUGUACUAGCACUGAAUCUUUGAUG
rnacentral:rRNA from 1 species